GAAGCCACUCUGCUUAUUUCCUUCCUCUGGAUUAAAAUCUGUAGCUAGGAUAAACCAACAUCUCCUUUGUGUAAGAUAAAGGUAAAGGUUUCCCCCUGACAUUAAGUUUAGUCGUGUCUGACUCUGGAGGUUGAUGCUCAUCUCCAUUUCUAAGCCAAAGAGCCAUCUUUGUCCGUAGACGCCUCCAAGGUCAUGUAGCCGGCAUGACUGCAUGGAGCGCCGUUACCUUGCCGCCAGAGUGGUACCUAUUGAUCUGCUUACAUUUGUGUGUUUUCGAACUGCUAGGUUGGAAGAAGGUGGGGCUAACAGCAGGAGCUCAGCCCGCUUCCUGGAUUCGAACCGUCAACCUUUCAGUUUAAUCUGCUGCACUACCAGGGGCUCCCAAAUCAAGUGUAACCCCAAGUUAAACACACAGAUGUCACCAACAGGAUCCAGAGACCAGGCUGGGGAAAAUGGAAGGAAAAAGGAAGAGGGACCAACCAAGGGCAAGAUGGAUGGAUGGUAUCCUUGAAGAGACUGGCUUGUCCUUGAAGGAGCUGGGGUGGUGAAGGCCGAAGGCCGACAAGGAGCUCUGGCGUGGACUGGUCCAUGAGGUCACGAAGAGUCGGAAGCGACUGACUGAAUAAAUAAACAACAAUAAAGGAGACCAGGUUGGGGAGCAAUGGAUUCGAAUUGCAGGAAAAGAGAUUCCACCUAAACAUUAGGAAGUUUCCUGAUAGUAAGAGCUGUUCAACAGUGGAAUAUGCUGCCUCGAAAGGUGGUAGAGUCUCCUUCUCUGGAGGUUUUUAAGAAGAGGCUGGAUGGCCAUUUGUCAGAAGUGCUUUGGUUGUGUGUUCCUGCAUGGGAAGGAGCUAGACUACCUGGCAAUAACUCGCUGUUCUCUCAUGUUUUAAACAGGUGUCGUCCCUCCCCAGCUAUACCUGGAGAUACCAGGGACUGAACUUCAGAAAAAGCUUGUGUUCUUCUACUGAGCUACUGCCCUUGCCUUAAGACUCUUAACAGUUUUCUUUUGAAAUGCAAGACGUUCUUUGCACUGCCUGAAAUAACUUUGCCCAGGGCCUUUCACAGGUUUCUCCCCAGAGCUCUCCAAAUCUGCCUCCUUCCCCUCCUCCCCACCACCACCACAAAGAUUCCUGCUGUUUUUAUGCAGACCCUGGCAAUUUUAUACAAAGCCCUGCUGUUGAUAUGACCUUCCAAAAAUGUUACAAUUGAUGUGAAUUACCUAAUAGUGCACUGUGGCUCCAAUACUCAAUGGGAGCAAAGCAUAGUUAAGCAGGUGAUUUGGACUUUAGAAAAAUGCUAUUAUGUCGUUGCUGUGCGGGAGUGCUGCCUCUUCAUCUUCCUUUUAGCCGCAGGACUUUCUCGUCUGUUGUCUGUUCUUUAAAGAUGCAUACAUAACUUUUACAGUAGGAGUUGCAGCUGAAAGAAAUGCUUUUCCCAAGCUCUGUACCACUUUCCUAAACCAUCUUGUCAGAACAUCAUAAAAGUAUUGCGAAGGA